AGGAAAUAUUUUUUUUCAAACUGUUCCAAAUGUUUAUAGAACUUUGGAAUUAAAGUGUUUAAAAAAGUCUUUACAUCCAUUUCCUGUUCCAUGCAAAAUGAUAUGGUACAUUAAAUUUACAUUUAUUUAGCUAUGUGUUGUGUGGAUCAAAUUUUAAGUUGUGUUUGAUACACAAAAAUAAAUGUCUAUUAUUCUUUAUUAAAACGGGAAUGAGUCUUGCAUGUAGUCCGUAAUGAAGGUCUAGCUUAAUUAAAUGUACUUCAUAUAAAACAGUUCUACUGAUUUCUCUUGUAAGCUAGUGUUCCAUAACAAUAGUGUAUGUGAUUUUAUUUAGUUUUAAAAAGAUUUUUUGGAAGUGUUUUUACAGCCCUGAGGGUUAUUUAUUAAAACAGAGGGAAAUAAAUAGAUAUAGAA
rnacentral:sRNA from 1 species